rnacentral:misc_RNA from 1 species
UAGCAAGAAGGCGGAUUUCACCUGCAGCAGAACGUGCCUCUUCGGGGCUGCCAGAUUUGAGCUUUCUCAGGAGAUUCUCUAUCAUCGAGUGCUCAGCAGGAGUGCAUGCAGAUGCAGACUUUUUAGGUGGAGCACUACGUGGUCUUUUAGGUGGUUCAAUCCCAUUCGCUUCACACCACUGUGCUAUAAGGCUACGCAACACAUAGUUGGGUGUCAGAGAUUUGCUUGUGAGGGCUUGUUGAGUCUUGGGACAAGUGCUAUGUCCAGCUUCCAGCCACUUCUCAAUACAAGAACGUUCAUAGGUCUGUCCAGUUGAAACAAUGACGGGAUCUGUCAUCAACUCCAAGGAAAUAGGGCAACGAAAAUCAUCCGGUAUAACUGGGGCCUUCUGGCUUCCGUCUGCAGAUGCUUGUCCACUAAUAUUUGAAGACUUAUCUCUUCCAUAAGAAUCAAUGUUUGGAUUCUCAGUCUGUACAAAGUCCUUAAUUUUCUUCAGUAGCAUUGACAUCUUCUCAAUUCUCUCCUCAGGAUCCCCAUCAGUAGCAAUGACCAUUUCAUGCAAAGCUAGUGAUUCUUGUUUAAGGUCAUCUAACUCGGUCAGCUGUAGCUUAUCAACUAACCUCCUUAGGACAUCAUGAUCUACAGCGGCG